rnacentral:rRNA from 1 species
UGGGGAAUAUUGGACAAUGGGCGCAAGCCUGAUCCAGCCAUGCCGCGUGAGUGAUGAAGGCCCUAGGGUUGUAAAGCUCUUUCACCGGUGAAGAUAAUGACGGUAACCGGAGAAGAAGCCCCGGCUAACUUCGUGCCAGCAGCCGCGGUAAUACGAAGGGGGCUAGCGUUGUUCGGAUUUACUGGGCGUAAAGCGCAGGUAGGCGGACUAUUAAGUCAGGGGUGAAAUCCCGGGGCUCAACCCCGGAACUGCCUUUGAUACUGGUAGUCUUGAGUUCGAGAGAGGUGAGUGGAAUUCCGAGUGUAGAGGUGAAAUUCGUAGAUAUUCGGAGGAACACCAGUGGCGAAGGCGGCUCACUGGCUCGAUACUGACGCUGAGGUGCGAAAGCGUGGGGAGCAAACAGG